rnacentral:rRNA from 1 species
UACGGAGGGUGCGAACGUUAAUCGGAAUCACUGGGCGUAAAGCGCGCGUAGGCGGUUUGUUAAGUGGGAUGUGAAAUCCCCCGGGCUUAACCUGGGAAUUGCAUUUCAAACUGGCCGACUAGAGUACGGUAGAGGGAGGUAGAAUUUCCUGUGUAGCGGUGAAAUGCGUAGAUAUAGGAAGGAAUACCAGUGGCGAAGGCGGCCUCCUGGAUCGAUACUGACGCUGAGGCGCGAAAGCGUGGGGAGCAAACAGG